rnacentral:rRNA from 1 species
UGGCGGCGAUAGCGCGGUGGUCCCACCUGACCCCAUGCCGAACUCAGAAGUGAAACGCCGUAGCGCCGAUGGUAGUGUGGGGCUUCCCCAUGUGAGAGUAGGGAACUGCC